rnacentral:rRNA from 1 species
GACGAACGCUGGCGGCGUGCUUAACACAUGCAAGUCGAACGGAAAGGCCCUGCUUUUGUGGGGUGCUCGAGUGGCGAACGGGUGAGUAACACGUGAGUAACCUGCCCUUGACUUUGGGAUAACUUCAGGAAACUGGGGCUAAUACCGGAUAGGAGCUCCUGCUGCAUGGUGGGGGUUGGAAAGUUUCGGCGGUUGGGGAUGGACUCGCGGCUUAUCAGCUUGUUGGUGGGGUAGUGGCUUACCAAGGCUUUGACGGGUAGCCGGACUGAGAGGGUGACCGGCCACAUUGGGACUGAGAUACGGCCCAGACUGCUACGGGAGGCAGCAGUGGGGAAUAUUGCACGAUGGGCGGAAGCCUGAUGCAGCAACGCCGCGUGCGGGAUGACGGCCUUCGGGUUGUAAACCGCUUUCGCCUGUGACGAAGCGUGAGUGACGGUAAUGGGUAAAGAAGCACCGGCUAACUACGUG